rnacentral:tRNA from 1 species
GGGUAUAGCUCAGUGGUAGAGCAUGUGCUUAGCAUGCAUGAGGUCCUGGGUUCAAUCCCCACUACCUCCA